rnacentral:rRNA from 1 species
AUUGAACGCUGGCGGCAGGCCUAAUACAUGCAAGUCGAGCGAGCGGCGGACGGGUGAGUAAUGUCUGGGAAACCGUCUGAUGGCGGGGGAUAACUACUGGAAAAGGUAGCUAAUCCCGCAUACAAUCAGAUUUGCCCAGUUGGGAUUAGCUAGUAGGGGGGGUAACGGCUCACCUAGGCGACGAGCCCUAGCGGGUCUGAGAGGGUGAUCAGCCACACUGGAACGGAGACACGGUCCAGACUCCUACGGGAGGCAGCAGUGGGGAAUAUUGCACAAUGGGCGCAAUCCUGAUGCAGCCAUGCCGCGUGUGUGAAGAAGGCCUUCGGGUUGUAAAGCCCUUUCAGCGGGGAGGCGUUACCCGCAGAAGAAGCACCGGCUAACUCCGUGCCAGCAGCCGCGGUAAUUC